rnacentral:rRNA from 1 species
UACAGAGGUCUCAAGCGUUGUUCGGAUUCAUUGGGCGUAAAGGGCGUGUAGGCGGCCAGGUAGGUCCGUUGUGAAAACUCGAGGCUCAACCUCGAGACGUCGGCGGAAACCCUCUGGCUAGAGUCCGGAAGAGGAGAGUGGAAUUCCUGGUGUAGCGGUGAAAUGCGCAGAUAUCAGGAAGAACACCCGUGGCUAAGGCGGCUCUCUAGUACGGUACUGACGCUGAGACGCGAAAGCGUGGGGAGCGAACAGG